UCUUCCUUGGUCUAGUGGUCAUGAUUUCCGCUUGUCAUUCCAACAAGCGCGGGAGACCGGGGUUCGAUUCCCCGAGGGAGAG
rfam:Clohesyomyces aquaticus strain CBS 115471 BCR34scaffold_38, whole genome shotgun sequence.